UACGUAGGGGGCGAGCGUUGUCCGGAGUUACUGGGCGUAAAGGGCAUGCAGGCGGUCCGACACGUUUUGUGUGACAGCGGGUGGCUUAACUACCCGAGGAUACGAAAGACGGUUGGACUUGAGGACUCGAGAGGGACACGGAAUUCCGGGUGGAGUGGUGAAAUGCGUAGAGAUCCGGAGGAACACCGGAGGCGAAGGCAGUGUCCUGGCGAGUGACUGACGCUGAGGUGCGAAAGCCAGGGGAGCGAACGGG
rnacentral:rRNA from 1 species